UACCCAGCGAUGGGGUGCGAAUCUCGAAAGCCUAUCUCAGUUCGGAUUGGAGGCUGAAACCCGCCUCCAUGAAGUUGGAUUCGCUAGUAAUCGCGCAUCAGCCAUGGCGCGGUGAAUACGUUCCCGGGCCUUGUACACACCGCCCGUCAAGCCAUGGGAGCUGGGGGUGCCUGAAGUUCGUGACCGCAAGGAUCGACCUAGGGCAAAACCGGUGACUGGGGCUAAGUCGUAACAAGGUACC
rnacentral:rRNA from 1 species